rnacentral:rRNA from 1 species
ACACGACUACAUGAUACCCCGGUAGUCCUAGCCGUAAACGAUACUCGCUAGGUGUCGGCCACGGUGCGACCGUUGUCGGUGCCGUAGGGAAGCCGUGAAGCGAGCCACCUGGGAAGUACGGCCGCAAGGCUGAAACUUAAAGGAAUUGGCGGGGGAGCACCGCAACGGGAGGAGCGUGCGGUUCAAUUGGAUUCAACGCCGGACAACUCACCAGGAGCGACGGUUACAUGAAGGCCAGGCUGAUGACCUUGCCUGAUUUUCCG